rnacentral:rRNA from 1 species
AGUGAACGCUGGCGGUAGGCCUAACACAUGCAAGUCGAACGGCAGCACAGUAAGGGCUUGCUCUUACGGGUGGCGAGUGGCGGAUGGGUGAGGAAUACAUCGGAAUCUACUUUUUCGUGGGGGAUAACGUAGGGAAACUUACGCUAAUACCGCAUACGAACUACGGGUGAAAGCAGGGGAUCUUAGGACCUUGCGCGAUUGAAUGAGCCGAUGUCGGAUUAGCUAGUUGGCGGGGUAAAGGCCCACCAAGGCGACGAUCCGUAGCUGGUCUGAGAGGAUGAGCAGCCACACUGGAACUGAGACACGGUCCAGACUCCUACGGGAGGCAGCAGUGGGGAAUAUUGGACAAUGGGCGCAAGCCUGAUCCAGCCAUACCGCGUGGGUGAAGAAGGCCUUCGGGUUGUAAAGCCCUUUUGUUGGGAAAGAAAAGCAGCAGGUUAAUACCCCGCUGUUCUGACGGUACCCAAAGAAUAAGCACCGGCUAACUUCGUG